rnacentral:rRNA from 1 species
CAAUAGCGUAUAUUUAAGUUGUUGCAGUUAAAAAGCUCGUAGUUGGAUUUCGGAUGGGACUUGCCGGUCCGUCGUUUCGAUGUGCACUGGCCAGUCCUAUCUUGUUGUCGGGGACUAGCUCCUGGGCUUCACUGUCCGGGACUAGGAGCUGACGAGGUUACUUUGAGUAAAUUAGAGUGUUCAAAGCAAGCCUACGCUCUGAAUACAUUAGCAUGGAAUAACACGACAGGACUCUGGCCUAUCGUGUUGGUCUAUAGGACCAGAGUAAUGAUUAAGAGGGACAGUCGGGGGCAUUCGUAUUCCGUUGUCAGAGGUGAAAUUCUUGGAUUUACGGAAGACGAACAUCUGCGAAAGCAUUUGCCAAGGAUGUUUUCAUUGA